AGAACGAACGCUGGCGGCAUGCCUAAUACAUGCAAGUCGAACGAACUCUUCGGAGUUAGCGGCGCACGGGUGCGUAACGCGUGGGAAUCUGCCCCUUGGUUCGGAAUAACAGUUGGAAACGACUGCUAAUACCGGAUGAUGACGAAAGUACCAAAGAUUUAUCGCCAAGGGAUGAGCCCGCGUAGGAUUAGCUAGUUGGUGAGGUAAGGCUCACCAAGGCAACGAUCCUUAGCUGGUCUGAGAGGAUAGAUCACGCCACGCUGGACUGAGACCACGGCCCAGACUCCGUACGGGA
rnacentral:rRNA from 1 species